rnacentral:rRNA from 1 species
GACGAACGCUGGCGGCGUGCUUAACACAUGCAAGUCGAACGAAGUGGCGAACGGGUGAGUAACGCGUAAUCAACCUGCCCUUCAGAGGGGGACAACAGUUGGAACCGACUGCUAAUACCGCAUACUGAAGGAGGGUAUUGUGUCUGAUUAGGUAGUUGGAGGGGUAACGGCCAACCAAGGCGAUGAUCAGUAGCCGGUCUGCGAAGAUGAGUGGACACAUUGGUACUGAGACACGGCCCAGACGCCUACGGUAGGAAGCAGUGGGGAAUCUUCCGGAAUGGACGAAAGUCUGACGGAGCACCGCCGCGGGAGUGAUGACGGCCUUCGGGUUGUAAAGCUCUGUUAAUCGGGACGCGGUACCGGAAUAGAAAGCAACGGCUAACUACGUGCCAGCAGCCGCGGUAAUAC